CUUAUUCAAUUUUCUCUUUAAAAACUAUACAAUAAAACAAACCAAUACAUAAAAUUGUUGAUCGACAGGCCCCAGUUUUCAGAAAAGAAAUCACACUUUCAAAAAUUACGCGUCCUUCCCAAUACAAACAACCAACUUCUUCCUUUCACUUCACAGUUCAUAUCUCGAAACCCUAAUUUUAUCUCUCUAAAUUUCUCUUCAAACUUCUUUCUCGCUCUAAAUUCAGUUUCAUGGCUGAUGGCAGUAGAACGAAUCCCGAUCCAGGAGGAGCAGCCGAUGACUUUUCUCCGUGGACGCUACCACCUGACUCUGAUAGCGUCAAUUAUCUCUUUACUAGUGAAAGAGAGAGUAGUAUACUGAGUGAAUUCGGUUGGAAUCUUCACGGUGGUGAACCGUUCCGGUUCACUGAACUCCUCCGAGUACAUCCUCCAGAUUUGGAGGGAAACAUUAGGUCUGCACCUGAAAGUACUAGUACCAGCUUUGCGUUACCAGGAUCGUCAGCUACUCCUGCCGCCGAUGAUUGUGCUGGCGGCAGUAGUAAUGUUAGGCCAGCAUCUGGCGGCGGUGUUAGUGGAGGAGACGUGUCGACAUCGAAUCCGUCGAUAUCGUCUAGCUCGAGCGAGGAUCCGCCGACGAGUUCCGGCGGGAAACCACCUGAAGAGAUACCGAGUAAGGUUAGAAAGAAGGGUCAGAAACGAAUUCGGCAGCCGAGAUUUGCGUUUAUGACAAAGAGUGAAGUUGAUCAUCUUGAGGAUGGCUACCGAUGGCGUAAAUAUGGUCAGAAAGCGGUUAAAAAUAGUCCAUUUCCCAGGAGUUACUACCGUUGCACAAAUGCCAAAUGCACAGUGAAGAAAAGGGUUGAACGAUCAUCAGAAGACCCCGCCAUUGUAAUUACAACAUAUGAAGGGCAGCACUGCCACCAUACGGUUGGUUUUCCCCGAGGUGGAAUCAUUAGUCAUGAUCCCAAUUUUGUUAGGAUUCCCUCAGUGUCACAGUUUUGUUCUCCUGCUGAUCUUCGGUCAGUUCAAGAAAAUCCUUCAACUAUUACACAAUCACAAGCCCGACGGCCGGCUCAAACAGUUGAACCUAGUAUACUGAGAAACCCAAAUCCGCAGCCCCAAAUAGAUGAAGGACUUCUUGGAGAUAUUGUACCGUCUGGAAUGCGAAACUGAUGAAACAGAACUGGUGAGAGAGAAAGUAAAUCAAUAUGUCAGUGUACAACCCUCACUAUGUUUGGCCUGCUCCUUGCUUUUUUUUAGGCUCUGAUGCAGUCUUCAGAUACAUGCAGGGGCGGAAUCAAUCACUAAGUUAUCUUCAGUUGUUACUCUGUUUCUUUCAAAGUUUCAAUGUCGUUUUUUAUCGAAUUAUUAUUGUGUUUCUACUUCGAUCACCGACCAUUUUUCCUUUUUUCUCUCUCGCUUUCUUCUUUUGUUUCUGAUCAGGUGUGUAUAUGUUGCAGGAAAUUCAUGGUGCCUUCUUUUAUUAUGGAGAAGAAAAGGAGAAAGAAAAUUUUAACUGGACGUUAAUUACUUAUUAAUUACUUGUCUGAAUUGUAAUUCUAUGUAAAGUUGAUAGCUUAAAUCUUCAUUGUAAACCUAGCUUUCUAAUUUGAGUCAUCAUUUUACUAGUAUAUAAAUAUUGUUAUAUUUUCUGGGGUUA